rnacentral:lncRNA from 1 species
CAGGACUGGGGACGGAUGUGGACUGACCUGACCAGCCGGACCUCAUGCUGGGAGCUAUCAUUCCAUGAAUGUGAUCAAAGAUGGGGGUUUGGGUAACCUGACUCACAUACUCCCCUUACUUUUUUUUUUUUUAGAGGUUCUAUUUAUUUAUUCAUGAGAGACAGAGAAAGAGAGAGAGAGAGAGAGAGAGAGAGAGAGGCAGAGACACAGGCAGAGGGAGAAGCAGGCUCCAUGCAGGGAACCCGAUGUGGGACUGGAUCUCGGGUCUCCAGGAUCAGGCCUCAGGCCGAAGGCAGCGCUAAACUGCUGAGCACCCCCGGGGCUGCCCGCGCACUCCCCUUUCGUCUCUCCCAGAAUGAAUUCCUCUACCAAAAUGUGGGAAUGACAAGUUCCACCUCCCACUGGAUCAUGGGAACAGUGGGUGUCUCACACUGCUCUACUGCAUCUGCCCAAACUGGCAAAGUGGCUGUCCCCGAAAGUGCCAAGGCUGUCCGGUCUCCCAGCAAACGCCUCGGACUGAUGCGGAGCCAUUUAUAGCAAGAAGUGGUGAGAGGUAACUUAUUCUGCUGUGGAAGGAGCCAGAGCCCAGGGCUCCUCCCAGGGAGAGCUUCACACUCCACAACAGGGUGGGGAGCUACUUUCCCACGCCCCUUCGCUCGCCUGCUGAAGCCGCACGCGAGCGCCAGGCUCCCAGCGCACACUGAGUCAGCACCCUGGAGAGCUGCCCCGCCCCUCCCUGACCAGUGAGGUCAGCACAGAUGCUGCACCCCCCCCCCCCCCCAGGAGGAGUGGCAACUGCAGCCACUGGGCAAAGCUCCCAAGAGCUGAGUUAAAGGAACACCCCUGAAGGCUGUGGAAAGCUCCAGAACCCAAGAAGCGCAGGGAACAGGAUUCCAAAGAGCAUGUUUGCCGACAAAAUCUCAUCGUAGGGGACGCCUGGGGGGCUCAGAUUGGGUUUUCUGCGGUUUGAGUGUUGAGCAGUUGAGCGUCUGCCUUCAGCUCGGGGCAUGAUCCCAGGUCCUGGGUUAGAGUUCCAGGCCGGGCCUCCUGCGAGGACACCGCUUCUCCCUCCCUCUGCCUGUGUCUCU